rnacentral:misc_RNA from 1 species
AGGAGGAGGAGGAGGAGAAGAAGAGGAGUGGAGAAAUACGGGAUACCUGGAAAAAGGGCUCGAAAGUUAGAAAAUCUCCAGAUCCAGUAAUAGGCGAGCAGCAAUAUGUGCGAGCAGAUUAAAAGAAGCUAAAAAAGUAGAGGCAGAUUCAUGCAUGCAUCAGUUGCGAGACAAACUCUUUGGAAACGGCGAAAUUCUCCGGAGAAGUUCGAAGAAAUCGGGGGUCGGGAAGUGGAAUUUCAGGUUCAAGGGGCACCACUGUCUCGGGAGCUACAAAAAGCUCUCCGUAUGCGAGUAAGCGAGAGAGAGAGAGAAAGAGAUGAAAUAGAAGACGGUGAUAAUAUCCUUACGUAUUAGGUGCACCGCGACAGUGGAAGAGGAGGUGGUGGUGGGUGGGUGGUGAGGGACCUUUCUCCUUCUCACUCACCUUCUUCGCCUACGCCACCAGUUUCAGAUUUCCCCUCCUCUGCGCACUGCCGUAGCCAUACAAUGCCUUUUCUAGGAUCCCAAAUUCUAAUCUUUCCCUCUUAUUAACUGCCUUUGCUUUUU